GCAAGUCGAGCGCAGUCCUUCGGGACCGAGCGGCGGACGGGUUAGUAACGCGUGGGAACAUACCCUUCUCUAAGGAAUAGCCUCGGGAAACUGAGAGUAAUACCUUAUACGCCCUUCGGGGGAAAGAUUUAUCGGAGAAGGAUUGGCCCGCGUUAGAUUAGAUAGUUGGUGGGGUAAUGGCCUACCAAGUCUACGAUCUAUAGCUGGUUUUAGAGGAUGAUC
rnacentral:rRNA from 1 species